rnacentral:rRNA from 1 species
UCGGCUUAGAGUUUGAUCAUGGCUCAGAUUGAACGCUGGCGGCAGGCUUAACACAUGCAAGUCGAACGGUAAAGUAGCUUGCUACUUACGAGUGGCGGACGGGUGAGUAACGUAUGGGAAUUUACCGAAUGGAGGGGGACAACCGUUGGAAACGGCUGCUAAUACCGCAUAACGUCGAGAGACCAAAGGGUUUCGACUUGCCAUUUGAUGAGCCCAUAUGAGAUUAGCUAGUUGGAGUGGUAAUGGCUCACCAAGGCGACUAUCUCUAGCUGGUUUGAGAGGAUGACCAGCCACACUGGGACUGAGACACGGCCCACACUCCUACGGGAGGCAGCAGUGGGGAAUAUUGCACAAUGGGGGGAACCCUGAUGCACCCAUGCCGCGUGUAUGAAGAAGGUCUUAGGGUUGUAAAGUACUUUCGUGGAGGAGGAA